CACACACACAAAUAAAAGAAAGAGAACGGAAAAGAACCCCUUUCGGCAAGCCUCCGCUGGUUUGAGACCCGGAAGCGGAAGCUCCUUGCCGGAAGUGACGCAUUUCAGGUAGAGAUCAUUUCUGGCAAGUGGAAUGCAGAAUCCAGACAUACUCAGAGGUACCAAAGUAUAUUGGGCUGGCCUUGAUGACUUGCCAGAGGUGGGACAUCCAAGAGUGAAGCCUGUCGUUUCAUUACACCCCUUCCCUGCUUCUUCCACUCAUAUUAUUUGAAAUAUGCCAAUGUAACAAGCAGAGAGCAAAUACAAAGAAGUCCAUACAGAGAUCCUGAUCGGUUCCAAAAUAAAAUU